CACCCGGUCCCAUCCGAACCCGGAAGUUAAGCCCGCCCGCGUUGCGUGCGGUACUGCGGUGCGCGAGCCCGCGGGAACCACGAGACGCUGUCAGCC
rnacentral:rRNA from 1 species